rnacentral:rRNA from 1 species
CCUACGGGUGGCUGCAGUGAGGAAUAUUGGUCAAUGGUCGGAAGACUGAACCAGCCAUGCCGCGUGCAGGAAGACGGUCCUAUGGAUUGUAAACUGCUUUUAUUUGGGAAUAAACUCCGGUACGUGUACCGGCCUGAAGGUACCAAAUGAAUAAGCACCGGCUAACUCCGUGCCAGCAGCCGCGGUAAUACGGAGGGUGCAAGCGUUAUCCGGAAUCAUUGGGUUUAAAGGGUCCGCAGGCGGAUUUAUAAGUCAGUGGUGAAAGCCCGUUGCUC